AUUCGGAGGAUGGGUCCUUCUUUUUGAAAUGGAAAGCUUCUAUUGAAUACAACAGAUCUGACUUUUACGCCGGAUGUUCAACAAACACAACAAUAGUAUCAAGCUUAAUAGCUUUAAAUGUGAAAGAAAUUGUUGGACAGUGUGGAGCCCUCGUGAUUCUAAGCCCGGUUUUCGCGGCGGGGACGUUAAACUAGGAUAUUUUCCAUCUGACUAUUCUAUACAGCAAAUAAACACUACACGAACAUGGAAGACAAAUAUCCAGGACAUAGAGCUACGAGAAGGUUCUUACGAUGAGGAAAUUGUUUCUGAAUAUUUGUACAUAUUGACUAUAUUUAACUUUGAAGACAGAGAUGAAGGAACGUAUACUUUAUAUUGUUAUUCAGGUGGCCACACGGAUUCUGUGCAGCUUCAUAUUCCAGAGCCACCGAGUUACCCAAUCCUCGGUCCAAAAAUCGCUGACUUUAAUACAACAAAAUGUAUUUAUGUUUAUGAAGAUUCCGACAUAUAUUGCCAGACUGAAA